rnacentral:piRNA from 1 species
UAGUUAUCUUUCUUGGUGUUGCUUC